CGAUGAAGGUGUGUUGAAGAAGCAUUGCUGGAGGUAUCAGAAGUGCGAAUGCUUGAACGUGAGUAACGACAAAACGGGUGAAAAAACCCGUUCGCCGGAAAGACCAAGGGUUCCAGUACCAACGUUAAUCGGGGCUGGGGUGUAGUCGACCCCCUAAGGCGAGGUCCGAAAGGCGUAGUCGAUGGGAAAAUGGUUAAUAUUCCAUUACUUCUGUGUAAUGCGAUGAGAGGACGGAGAAGGCUAAAUCAGCCUGGCGUUGGUUGUCCAGGUGAAAGGAUGUAGGCAUGUAUCUUAGGCAAAUCCGGGGUACUCUAUGCUGAGAUCUGAUAGCAAGCUGUACUUGUACAGCGAAGUGGUUGAUGCCAUGCUUCCAGGAAAAGUCUCUAAGCUUCAGUUACACAGGAAUCGUACCCGAAACCGACACAGGUGGUCAGGUCGAGUAGACCAAGGCGCUUGAGAGAACUCUGCUGAAGGAACUAGGCAAAAUGGUACCGUAACUUCGGGAGAAGGUACGCUGUUGUUGGUGAUGGAACUCGCUUCCUGAGCUGACGACAGCCGCAGAAACCAGGCCGCUGCAACUGUUUAUUAAAAACAUAGCACUCUGCAAACACGAAAGUGGACGUAUAGGGUGUGAUGCCUGCCCGGUGCUGGAAGGUUAAUUGAUGGGGUUAGCGUAAGCGAAGCUCUUGAUCGAAGCCCCAGUAAACGGCGGCCGUAACUAUAACGGUCCUAAGGUAGCGAAAUUCCUUGUCGGGUAAGUUCCGACCUGCACGAAUGGCAUAAUGAUGGCGGCGCUGUCUCCAGCAGAGGCUCAGUGAAAUCGAAAUCGCUGUGAAGAUGCAGUGUACCCGCGGCUAGACGGAAAGACCCCGUGAACCUUUACUGCAGCUUGACACUGAACUUUGACCUUACUUGUGUAGGAUAGGUGGGAGGCUUUGAAGCUGGAACGCUAGUUCCAGUGGAGCCGUCCUUGAAAUACCACCCUGGUAAUGUUGAGGUUCUAACUCUGUCCCGUGAUCCGGGACGAGGACCGUGUCUGGUGGGUAGUUUGACUGGGGCGGUCUCCUCCUAAAGAGUAACGGAGGAGUACGAAGGUGCGCUCAGCGUGGUCGGAAAUCACGCGUAGAGUAUAAAGGCAAAAGCGCGCUUAACUGCGAGACCCACAAGUCGAGCAGGUACGAAAGUAGGUCUUAGUGAUCCGGUGGUUCUGUAUGGAAGGGCCAUCGCUCAACGGAUAAAAGGUACUCUGGGGAUAACAGGCUGAUACCGCCCAAGAGUUCAUAUCGACGGCGGUGUUUGGCACCUCGAUGUCGGCUCAUCUCAUCCUGGGGCUGAAGCAGGUCCCAAGGGUAUGGCUGUUCGCCAUUUAAAGAGGUACGCGAGCUGGGUUUAGAACGUCGUGAGACAGUUCGGUCCCUAUCUACCGUGGGCGCUGGAAAUUUGAGAGGAUCUGCUCCUAGUACGAGAGGACCAGAGUGGACGAACCUCUGGUGUACCGGUUGUGACGCCAGUCGCAUCGCCGGGUAGCUAUGUUCGGAAGGGAUAACCGCUGAAAGCAUCUAAGCGGGAAGCCUACCUCAAGAUAAGAUUUCCCUAGGACUUUAUGUCCUCUAAAGAGCCGUUCGAGACUAGGACGUUGAUAGGUUGGAUGUGGAAGCAUAGUGAUAUGUGAAGCUGACCAAUACUAAUUGCUCGUGAGGCUUGACU
rnacentral:rRNA from 1 species